rnacentral:rRNA from 1 species
GGGGGAUAAGCUUCAUUGCCAAGAGGGAAACAGCCCAGAUCACCAUUUAAGGCCCCUAAAUAAUUGCUAAGUGAAAAAGGAUGUAAUCAUACACAGACAACCAGGAGGUUUGCUUAGAAGCAGCAAUCCUUUAAAAAGUGCGUAAUAGCUUACUGGUCAAGUGUUUUUGCGCCGAAAAUGAACGGGACUAAGCAGUUUGCCGAAAGUGUGAGAUUCUCAAUGAGGAUCGGUAGAAGAGCGUUCUGUUUUAGUGCGAAGCAAUAGUGUAAACAGUUGUGGACUAAUCAGAAGUGAGAAUGUCGGCUUAAGUAACGAAAACAUUGGUGAGAAUCCAAUGCCCCGAAAGCCUAAGGAUUCCUUUGCAAGGUUCGUCCGCGAAGGGUUAGUCAGGUCCUAAAACAAGGUUUAAAAACGUAGUUGAUGGAAAACAGGUUAAUAUUCCUGUACUACUUUUUGUUAUAUUACGAGUGACGAAGAAGGCUAAACUAGCCAAAGACUGGUUGUUUUGGUUCAAUCUUUCAAGGUGUCGAUAAAUAUUAUAAUUAAAAAUAUUUUGAGCUGAGAAGAAAAUACAAGUAAUAUUACGAUAUUGCAAGUAGUUAAUGUCCUGCUUCCAAGAAAAACUUUUAUAAUUAUAUUCAAAAAGUACCUGUACCUCAAACUGACACAGGUAGGCAAGUAGAAAAUACUCAGGGGCGCGAGAUAACUCUUUCUAAGGAACUCGGCAAAAUGACUCUGUAACUUCGGGAUAAAGAGUGCCUCAAAUAAAUUUUAAAUUUAUAUGAGGUCGCAGUAAUAAGACCCAGGCGACUGUUUACCAAAAACACAGGUCUCCGCUAAGUUGAAAAACGAUGUAUGGGGGCUGACGCCUGCCCAGUGCCGGAAGGUUAAAAAAGUUGGUUAGCAUUUGCGAAGCUAGUAAUUGAAGCCCUGGUGAACGGCGGCCGUAACUAUAACGGUCCUAAGGUAGCGAAAUUCCUUGUCAGGUAAGUUCUGACCCGCACGAAAGGCGUAACGAUCUGGGUACUGUCUCAGAAAGAGAGUCGGUGAAAUAGAAUUGACUGUGAAGAUGCGGUCAUCUCGCACUUGGACAGAAAGACCCUAUGAAGCUUUACUGUAAUUUGAUAUUGGUUUUGGAUUUUCCUUGCGCAGCAUAGGUGGGAGGCUUUGAAUCUCUUUUUUGGAAGUUGAUGAGCUGUAAUAUGAGAUACCACUCUGGGAAGAUUAAAAGUCUAAUAGUAUUCUAUAUUCUAGAUACUUGAAAGUUUCAGAUGGGCAGUUUUACUGGGGCGGUAGCCUCCUAAAAAGUAACGGAGGCGUACAAAGGUUUUUUCAUUCUAGACGGAAAUUAGUUGUCGAGUGUAAAGGCAUAAAAAAGCUUGACUGUGAGACCUACAAGUCAAACAGAGACGAAAGUCGGUCUUAGUGAUCCGACGGUACUGAGUGGAAAGGCCGUCGCUCAACGGAUAAAAGUUACUCUAGGGAUAACAGGCUGAUCUCCCCCAAGAGUCCACAUCGACGGGGAGGUUUGGCACCUCGAUGUCGGCUCAUCGCAUCCUGGAGCGGUAGUACGUUCCAAGGGUUGGGCUGUUCGCCCAUUAAAGCGGUACGUGAGCUGGGUUCAGAACGUCGAGAGACAGUUCGGUCCAUAUCCGGUGUGAGUGUUAGAGUAUUGAAAAGAACUUUCCUUAGUACGAGAGGACCGGGAAGGAUACACCUAUGAUCUACCAGUUUUUGUGCCAACAGAAAACGCUGGGUAGUCACGUGUAGAGUGGAUAACUG